rnacentral:tRNA from 3 species
GGCAGGUUGCCCGAGCGGCCAAUGGGAGCGGACUGUAAAUCCGUCGGCUUACGCCUACACAGGUUCGAAUCCUGUACCUGCCAC